ACGAACGCUGGCGGCGUGCCUAAUACAUGCAAGUCGAACGCUUCUUUCCUCCCGAGUGCUUGCACUCAAUUGGAAAGAGGAGUGGCGGACGGGUGAGUAACACGUGGGUAACCUACCCAUCAGAGGGGGAUAACACUUGGAAACAGGUGCUAAUACCGCAUAACAGUUUAUGCCGCAUGGCAUAAGAGUGAAAGGCGCUUUCGGGUGUCGUUGAUGGAUGGACCCGCGGUGCAUUAGCUAGUUGGUGAGGUAACGGCUCACCAAGGCCACGAUGCAUAGCCGACCUGAGAGGGUGAUCAGCCACACUGGGACUGAGACACGGCCCAGACUCCUACGGGAGGCAGCAGUAGGGAAUCUUCGGCAAUGAACGAAAGUCUGACCGAGCAACGCCGCGUGAGUGAAGAAGGUUUUCGGAUCGUAAAACUCUGUUGUUAGAGAAGAACAAGGACGUUAGUAACUGAACGUCCCCUGACGGUAUCUAACCAGAAAGCCACGGCUAACUACGUG
rnacentral:rRNA from 1 species